CUCCAUUUCAUAGUGGCGAACGGGUGAGGAACACGUGAGAAACCUGCCUCGGAUUUUGGGAUAACAAAUGGAAACGUUUGCUAAUACCAAAUAACGUCGGAGAGUCACAUGACUUUCUGACGAAAGGAAUUCCGAUUCGAGAGGGUCUCGCGGCCUAUCAGCUAGUUGGCGGGGUAAUGGCCCACCAAGGCAACGACGGGUAGCUGGUCUGAGAGGAUGGUCAGCCACACUGGGACUGAGACACGGCCCAGACUCCUACGGGAGGCAGCAGUGGGGAACCUUGCGCAAUGGGCGAAAGCCUGACGCAGCCACGCCGCGUGCGGGAUGAAGGCCCUAGGGUUGUAAACCGCUUUUAACAGGAACGAAAAUGACGGUACCUGUAGAAUAAGGUGCGGCCAACUACGUGCCAGCAGCCGCGGUGACACGUAGGCACCAAGCGUUGUCCGGAUUUAUUGGGCGUAAAGAGCUCGUAGGCGGUUCAGUAAGUCGGGUGUGAAAACUCUGGGCUUAACCCAGAGACGCCACUCGAUACUAUUGUGACUAGAGUUCGGUAGGGGAGCGGGGAAUUCCUAGUGUAGCGGUGAAAUGCG
rnacentral:rRNA from 1 species